CCGAAUCACUUGUUUCCCACCCUUUUUUUUAUUUUGUUAUAAAAUCUAUGUGAUGAUUAAAUUUGGAAAAAGUGGGUGCAAAUAUUUAAAAAAUAUCUGUAUAAGAACUGUCGGGAUUCCGAAUAGAAACUUCGGAAUCGAUUGGACAUUUAUUUCGUGGUUAUAUACGUUUCAAACGAGUUGACAAAACUUUACACACUCGAAUUUGAUUGUCGAUCACCACUUUCUUGGAAAUAUCGAUCGUGACAAGACAGCUCAACACAUUUGGAACGUUUAUACUUAAAAAAAGCAAUUCACUGCAUUUAAUCCUAUAAUUCAAUAAGUAAACGACAAUAAAACCCAGUGAAUAAUCUUUGCGCCAAUGCGAUUCUAAAACCGUUACUGAAAACAACAAAAGCUUCGAUUGAGAGACUGAAGAAAAAUUAUUUUCCAACGAGUUUAACAGAGUUUAUAACCUCCAUUUGUCGUGACUCGCAUGAGCGAAGAUAUUCACUGACAUAGUGGCAACGUGAAAAAGCCGUUAUGGAAAGUGUGUUGAAAUAAAAAGUGCCAAAUUUUCGACGGCGAACCGUGCGCGGGAGUGAAUUUUCUAAAAAUCGAUUUAUAAAGUUCGACGAAGUAAUUUUGAUGGUGCAUUAAAUCGUCUGCUUUGUGGCUUGAGACACUUCGAAAAAAUGUGAAUCCGGGACCUCGUGGAAGUUGAUGCUCCGAGAGUAUUGUCAGCCGUGAAUCGGAGUGCGAAGGAAAUAAAACGAGGACAAUUUGAUCGGGAGAACGCUGGGCAACGAGACGAGCGUUGCGAUCUCGUCUGGGAGGAGGCAAACGCAAAGGAACUUCAUUAUAAAAAGCUCACAGGUGAAUAAUUCGUCGGUGUCGUUUCCUCGGGGCCGGAUAAUCAAGAUUCAUGGAGCGACGCUUCGUUUAAAUUCAGGAUGACGGAGCAAUAACGUUUGGAAAUCGGUGGGACACAGUAUCGAGGAGGGAAUCCGUAUUUCUCGCCCACGCUCGCAAAGCACACUCGCAAGUGCUCACAAACGACGACGUACGAAUAUUCGUAAUGCGGUACAAGAGUCGAAUAAGUCUUUGAUCGAGUCGUACGACUUGGUCACUUCUUCUGCCAAGCAUUUUACGUUCGUUCAGGUUAUAAAUCGAAGAAGAUGAAACAGAACACGGCGUUUCGCUCACGAGGCUCGUAACAGGGGAUGCGAUAUUCGCUCGGGUCUCGUUGGAAGCAGCUGGCCAUCGAGCUCGAAAAGUCUCGAGAGCAACUGUCCACCUUGAUAGCCCAGCAGAAGAGGCUCGUGGCGAGCAGGCUUAUGAGGAGGUUCGACUGUAGAUUUCCGACGUUUGCGAAGGAGGCUGAGAAAAGCUCGUCGAAGCAUAUAGUAUAAUAGCAGAAGUAUACAUGGGCGAGAUAUCUCGUUCCAUUAUAUAUCCUCGUUGGCAACAUAUAC